UAGGGAAUCUUCCACAAUGGGCGAAAGCCUGAUGGAGCGACGCCGCGUGUGUGAUGAAGGGUUUCGGCUCGUAAACACUGUUGUAAGAGAAGAAUGACAUUGAGAGUAACUGUUCAAUGUGUGACGGUAUCUUACCAGAAAGGAACGGCUAAAUACGUGCCCG
rnacentral:rRNA from 1 species